rnacentral:rRNA from 1 species
AGUAACACGUGGGAACGCGCCCUUCGGUUCGGAAUAACUCAGGGAAACUUGGGCUGAUACCGGAUACGCCCUUACGGGGAAAGAUUUAUUGCCGAAGGAACGGCCCGCGUCCGAUUAGCUUGUUGGUGAGGUAACGGCUCACCAAGGCGACGAUCGGUAGCUGGUCUGAGAGGAUGACCAGCCUCACUGGGACUGAGACACGGCCCAGACUCCUACGGGAGGCAGCAGUGGGGAAUAUUGGACAAUGGGCGCAAGCCUGAUCCAGCCAUGCCGCGUGGAUGAUGAAGGCCCUAGGGUUGUAAAGUCCUUUCGGCGGGGAAGAUAAUGACGGUACCCGCAGAAGAAGCCCCGGCUAACUUCGUGCCAGCAGCCGCGGUAACACGUAGGGGGCAAGCGUUGUUCGGAAUUAUUGGGCGUAAAGGGCAUGUAGGCGGUUUUGUAAGCCUGGUGUGAAAUCCUGCAGCUUAACUGUAG